UUUAUGGGCUUUCCAUUUCCUCAUAAGCAAACCGUUCUCCAAAUAAAAUAGUCGUAGCAUCGCUAGUGGCUACUGUCGGAGACCCUACCUGCCACACAGGCAGCUUAGCCGAACGCUUUUCGGGAUCGAACAGGAGAAAUAUCCACAAUAUCUCCGGUUCUACGUGCCUGAGCACGAGUUAGCACACAGGUCGGAUAUAUUUGGGUAUCCGUAUUAGGAAUGAAACACGGGUCAGGUCGGACAUUACGCCGACACGAACACGGCCAGUAAUCAAAUCAGAAGACAGGUGGAUCCAAUGUAGAGGCACUGAGACUGUACCCAUCUUGAUUCCUGUUAGUAGUACAUGAGAUCUACAAUACGAUUCAGAAACCCAACCCGUUGACCCAAACGGA
ensembl:lncRNA